CAGUCGCCGCGGUAAUACGAAGGGGGCUAGCGUUGUUCGGAAUUACUGGGCGUAAAGCGCACGUAGGCGGACAUUUAAGUCAGGGGUGAAAUCCCGGGGCUCAACCUCGGAACUGCCUUUGAUACUGGGUGUCUUGAGUGUGGAAGAGGUAAGUGGAAUUGCGAGUGUAGAGGUGAAAUUCGUAGAUAUUCGCAGGAACACCAGUGGCGAAGGCGGCUUACUGGUCCACAACUGACGCUGAGGUGCGAAAGCGUGGGGAGCAAACAGGAUUAGAUACCCGGGUAGUCCCUGUCUCUUAUAC
rnacentral:rRNA from 1 species